GGCUAGGCCUUGAAUGAUAAAACAAAAGCAUGUUGGCUAGCUAGCAAGGAAAGCGUGGUGAAAAGGAUGGUGCUAGGCUCCAAUGAGAGGAAGCACUGCGUCUGUACCUACAUACCAUGUAAUUGUUUUAUACUUGAGAACAAAUGGUGUUGAAGAAUCCAGCAUCAACGUAUCUGCCAAGAUCUCUGAAGUGACUAAACUUAGGCACUGGAGGGGAUGCUUCUGAAUUGCUCCUGUCGGGAGUCCUCACGGCUGUUCCAGGAGUGAGUGCGGUUAUUCCCCAUGUGCUGAGCAGAGGCCUUUGCUCUGGGCAGGUUGAUGCUCACGCGAUGGCCCCGAAUGCAACCCAUGGGAACCUCUGAACAGCUUAGGGGCAAGCCAUUUGUGACUAGGAAAAAACCCCAAAAUAUGCUCAAGAAGACAUCUGAUCAUUGCCCACGCUUCUCAGUUGCCAUGGAAUGUUGGUAUCCUGACCGUGGGAAGAAGAUCAAUAAUCGUAUUUAAAUGUGGGCUGGGGACGGGGUGACUGGGUGACAGGCACUGAGGGGGGCACUUGAUGGGAUGAGCACUGGGUGUUAUACUAUAUGUUGGCAAAUCUAACUCCAAUAAAAAU